rnacentral:rRNA from 2 species
GUAACGAUAAAGCGGGUGAAAAGCCCGCUCGCCGGAAGACCAAGGGUUCCUGUCCAACGUUAAUCGGGGCAGGGUGAGUCGACCCCUAAGGCGAGGCCGAAAGGCGUAGUCGAUGGGAAACAGGUUAAUAUUCCUGUACUUGGUGUUACUGCGAAGGGGGGACGGAGAAGGCUAUGUCAGCCGGGCGACGGUUGUCCCGGUUUAAGCAUGUAGGCGGAGGUUCCAGGUAAAUCCGGUACCUUAUUAACGCUGAGGUGUGAUGACGAGGCACUACGGUGCUGAAGUGAUAAAUGCCCUGCUUCCAGGAAAAGCCUCUAAGCAUCAGGUAACACGAAAUCGUACCCCAAACCGACACAGGUGGUCAGGUAGAGAAUACCAAGGCGCUUGAGAGAACUCGGGUGAAGGAACUAGGCAAAAUGGUGCCGUAACUUCGGGAGAAGGCACGCUGAUGUGUAGGUGAAGUCCCUGCGGACGAAGCUGAAAUCAGUCGAAGAUACCAGCUGGCUGCAACUGUUUAUUAAAAACACAGCACUGUGCAAACACGAAAGUGGACGUAUACGGUGUGACGCCUGCCCGGUGCCGGAAGGUUAAUUGAUGGGGUUAGCGGCAACGCGAAGCUCUUGAUCGAAGCCCCGGUAAACGGCGGCCGUAACUAUAACGGUCCUAAGGUAGCGAAAUUCCUUGUCGGGUAAGUUCCGACCUGCACGAAUGGCGUAAUGAUGGCCAGGCUGUCUCCACCCGAGACUCAGUGAAAUUGAACUCGCUGUGAAGAUGCAGUGUACCCGCGGCAAGACGGAAAGACCCCGUGAACCUUUACUAUAGCUUGACACUGAACACUGGUCCUUGAUGUGUAGGAUAGGUGGGAGGCUUUGAAGCGUGGACGCCAGUCUGCGUGGAGCCAACCUUGAAAUACCACCCUUUAAUGGCUGGUGUUCUAACGUAGACCCGUAAUCCGGGUUGCGGACAGUGUCUGGUGGGUAGUUUGACUGGGGCGGUCUCCUCCCAAAGAGUAACGGAGGAGCACGAAGGUUGGCUAAUCCUGGUCGGACAUCAGGAGGUUAGUGCAAUGGCAUAAGCCAGCUUGACUGCGAGCGUGACGGCGCGAGCAGGUGCGAAAGCAGGUCAUAGUGAUCCGGUGGUUCUGAAUGGAAGGGCCAUCGCUCAACGGAUAAAAGGUACUCCGGGGAUAACAGGCUGAUACCGCCCAAGAGUUCAUAUCGACGGCGGUGUUUGGCACCUCGAUGUCGGCUCAUCACAUCCUGGGGCUGAAGUAGGUCCCAAGGGUAUGGCUGUUCGCCAUUUAAAGUGGUACGCGAGCUGGGUUUAGAACGUCGUGAGACAGUUCGGUCCCUAUCUGCCGUGGGCGCUGGAGAAUUGAGGGGGGCUGCUCCUAGUACGAGAGGACCGGAGUGGACGCAUCACUGGUGUUCGGGUUGUCAUGCCAAUGGCACUGCCCGGUAGCUAAAUGCGGAAGAGAUAAGUGCUGAAAGCAUCUAAGCACGAAACUUGCCCCGAGAUGAGUUCUCCCUGAGACCUUGAGUCUCCUGAAGGAACGUUGAAGACGACGACGUUGAUAGGUCGGGUGUGUAAGCGCAGCGAUGCGUUGAGCUAACCGAUACUAAUGAACCGUGAGGCUUAACCUU